GACGAACGCUGGCGGCGUGCUUAACACAUGCAAGUCAAACGGAAAGGCCCUGCUUUUGUGGGGUGCUCGAGUGGCGAACGGGUGAGUAACACGUGAGUAACCUGCCCUUGACUUUGGGAUAACUUCAGGAAACUGGGGCUAAUACCGGAUAGGAGCUCCUGCUGCAUGGUGGGGGUUGGAAAGUUUCGGCGGUUGGGGAUGGACUCGCGGCUUAUCAGCUUGUUGGUGGGGUAGUGGCUUACCAAGGCUUUGACGGGUAGCCGGCCUGAGAGGGUGACCGGCCACAUUGGGACUGAGAUACGGCCCAGACUCCUACGGGAGGCAGCAGUGGGGAAUAUUGCACAAUGGGCGGAAGCCUGAUGCAGCAACGCCGCGUGCGGGAUGACGGCCUUCGGGUUGUAAACCGCUUUCGCCUGUGACGAAGCGUAAGUGACGGUAAUGGGUAAAGAAGCACCGGCUAACUACGUG
rnacentral:rRNA from 1 species